AUACGUAGGGCGCGAGCGUUGUCCGGAAUUACUGGGUGUAAAGGGUGCGUAGGCGGGACUGCAAGUCAGAUGUGAAAUGCCGGGGCUCAACCCCGGAGCUGCAUUUGAAACUGUGGUUCUUGAGCGAGGUAGAGGUAAGCGGAAUUCCUAGUGUAGCGGUGAAAUGCGUAGAUAUUAGGAGGAACAUCGGUGGCGAAGGCGGCUUACUGGGCCUUUACUGACGCUGAGGCACGAAAGCGUGGGGAGCAAACAGGAUUAGAUGCCCUGGUUGUCCACGCUGUAAACGAUGAUGACUAGGUGUGGGGGGACUGAACCCUUCCGUGCCGCAGUUAACACAAUAAGUCAUCCACCUGGGGAGUACGGCCGCAAGGUUGAAACUCAAAUGAAUUGACGGG
rnacentral:rRNA from 1 species